AUUGAACGCUGGCGGCAUGCCUUACACAUGCAAGUCGAACGGUAACAGGUCUUCGGAUGCUGACGAGUGGCGAACGGGUGAGUAAUACAUCGGAACGUGCCCGAUCGUGGGGGAUAACGAAGCGAAAGCUUUGCUAAUACCGCAUACGAUCUACGGAUGAAAGCAGGGGACCGCAAGGCCUUGCGCGAACGGAGCGGCCGAUGGCAGAUUAGGUAGUUGGUGGGAUAAAAGCUGACCAAGCCGACGAUCUGUAGCUGGUCUGAGAGGACGACCAGCCACACUGGGACUGAGACACGGCCCAGACUCCUACGGGAGGCAGCAGUGGGGAAUUUUGGACAAUGGGCGAAAGCCUGAUCCAGCCAUGCCGCGUGCAGGAUGAAGGCCUUCGGGUUGUAAACUGCUUUUGUACGGAACGAAAAGACUCUGGUUAAUACCUGGGGUCCAUGACGGUACCGUAAGAAUAAGCACCGGCUAACUACGUGCCAGCAGCCGCCGUAAGAC
rnacentral:rRNA from 1 species